GGAGGGUGCGAGCGUUGUCCGGAAUCACUGGGCGUAAAGGGCGCGUAGGCGGCCUGAUAAGUAGGGGGUGAAAUCCUGCGGCUUAACCGCAGGGCUGCCUUCUAAACUGUCGGGCUAGAGCACGGUAGAGGCAGAUGGAAUUCCCGGUGUAGCGGUGGAAUGCGUAGAGAUCGGGAAGAACAUCAGUGGCGAAGGCGGUCUGCUGGGCCGUUGCUGACGCUGAGGCGCGACAGCGUGGGGAGCAAACAGGAUUAGAUACCCUGGUAGUCCACGCCGUAAACGAUGGGCACUAGGCGUCGGGGGGAGCGACCCUCCCGGUGCCGUCGCUAACGCAGUAAGUGCCCCGCCUGAGGAGUACGGCCGCAAGGCUG
rnacentral:rRNA from 1 species